rfam:Schistosoma rodhaini strain Burundi genome assembly, scaffold: SROB_scaffold0002378
AUCCAUCUGACGAGUCCCAAAUAGAACGAAACACGCGUCCUGGAU